CGGUGGAUCACUCGGCUCGUGGAUCGAUAAAAAACGCACGNNNACUGCGCGUCGAGUGUGAACUGCAGGACACAUGAACAUCGACGUUUCUAACGCACAUUGCGGCCCAAGGAUCCCAUUCCCGGGCCACGCCUGGCUGAGGGCAGGC
rnacentral:rRNA from 1 species